UCCUUAGUAGCUCAGCGGUAGAGCAAUCGGCUGUUAACCGAUUGGUCGUAGGUUCGAAUCCUACCUGAGGAG
rnacentral:tRNA from 2 species